GGGUCGGUGUCCCGAGUGGCAAAGGGGGCGGACUGUAAAUCCGCUGGCUCAGCCUUCGCAGGUUCGAGUCCUGCCCGGCCCACUA
rnacentral:tRNA from 1 species